AGCAGCCGCGGUAAUUCCAGCUCCAAUAGCGUAUAUUAAAGUUGUUGCAGUUAAAAAGCUCGUAGUUGAAUUUCGGGAUCAGUUGGUCGGUCGUGCCUCGGUACGUACUGGUCAAAUUGAUUCCUACCUUCUGACGAACCACGAUGUCAUUAAUUUGGUGUCGCGGGAAAUCAGGACUGUUACUUUGAAAAAAUUAGAGUGUUUAAAGCAGGCUCGCGCUUGAAUACAUUAGCAUGGAAUAAUGAAAUAGGACGUUUGAUUCUAUUUUGUUGGUUUCUAGGAUCGACGUAAUGAUUAAUAGGGAUAGUUGGGGGCAUUAGUAUUCAAUUGUCAGAGGUGAAAUUCUUGGAUUUAUUGAAGACUAACUACUGCGAAAGCAUUUGCCAAGGAUGUUUUCAUUAAUCAAGAACGAAAGUUAGGGGAUCGAAGACGAUCAGAUACCGUCGUAGUCUUAACCAUAAACUAUGCCGACUAGGGAUCGGAUGAUGUUAAUUUUUAAUGUAC
rnacentral:rRNA from 1 species